CCUACGGGAGGCAGCAGUGGGGAAUUUUGGACAAUGGGCGCAAGCCUGAUCCAGCAAUGCCGCGUGAGUGAAGAAGGCCUUCGGGUUGUAAAGCUCUUUUGUCAGGGAAGAAACGGUGAGAGCUAAUAUCUCUUGCUAAUGACGGUACCUGAAGAAUAAGCACCGGCUAACUACGUGCCAGCAGCCGCGGUAAUACGUAGGGUGCAAGCGUUAAUCGGAAUUACUGGGCGUAAAGCGUGCGCAGGCGGUUUUGUAAGUCUGUCGUGAAAUCCCCGGGCUCAACCUGGGAAUUGCGAUGGAGACUGCAAGGCUAGAAUCUGGCAGAGGGGGGUAGAAUUCCACGUGUAGCAGUGAAAUGCGUAGAGAUGUGGAGGAACACCGAUGGCGAAGGCAGCCCCCUGGGGUCAAGAUUGACGCUCAUGCACGAAAGCGUGGGGAGCAAACAGGAUUAGAUACCCUGGUAGUCCACGCCCUAAACGAUGUCUACUAGUUGUCGGGUUUUAAUUAACUUGGUAACGCAGCGUACGCGUGAGAGACCGCCGNGGGUAAGGUACGGUCGUUCGAGUAAGUUAAACGUUAAAGUUAAGUUAAGUUAGACGGCGUUGAGACGNGCCGACGGACGACGACGAGGGAGGAGG
rnacentral:rRNA from 1 species